GGACUUCAUGCGCAAAUAUAAUCCAGAAACUUUCUCUUCUGGUCCCAGGAACCAGAAGACUGUCGUGAGGAGGCCUUGUCUGGCACUGAUUCUUCUCUCCCUGGAGCCUCACACAAUAGGUCAAUCUCUACUUGGUGGAGGCCCCUUAGGGAUCAUGGCCAGCUUGCACAGAUUAAGGUUCCUGGAUUACUGCUUUAAUUUUUGUAUAUGGAACACAGCUAGAGAGUGGGAAGGAUUGCUCUGAAGCAG